rnacentral:rRNA from 1 species
GAUGAACGCUGGCGGCGUGCUUAACACAUGCAAGUCGAACGGUAAGGCCCUUCGGGGUACACGAGUGGCGAACGGGUGAGUAACACGUGGGUGAUCUGCCCUGCACUUCGGGAUAAGCCUGGGAAACUGGGUCUAAUACCGGAUAGGACCACUGCCUGCAUGGGUGGUGGUGGAAAGCGUUUGCGGUGUGGGAUGGGCCCGCGGCCUAUCAGCUUGUUGGUGGGGUGAUGGCCUACCAAGGCGACGACGGGUAGCCGGCCUGAGAGGGUGACCGGCCACACUGGGACUGAGAUACGGCCCAGACCCCUACGGGAGGCAGCAGUGGGGAGUAUUGCACAAUGGGCGCAAGCCUGAUGCAGCGACGCCGCGUGAGGGAUGACGGCCUUCGGGUUGUAAACCUCUUACAGCAUCGACGAAGCGAAAGUGACGGUAGGUGCAGAAGAAGGACCGGCCAACUACGUGCCAGCCGCCGCCGUAA